GCCGCGGGCCUCGGGCGGCCGCAGGGCGCUGGGGUCGCCGCGGGGCUCGACCGCGCGUUACUCAGUUCGGCCAAAAGGGCUCACGCGGUGCGGCUUGUCGGCCUCCUUCUGCGAGACUCGGGACUCCAGGUGGGAGAAGCCGCAGACCCAGCUGGAGCCAAAGCCUCUCUCCUCCUCCCAGGGCCGCGGAGGGGCCAGGAUGCUGCUGGGCGCCGGGAGCCGCGUCCACUUCGGUGGCGGAAGCGCCAUGCCGACUCCGGUUCUUGGAAGCGAAACGCUUCUUGGGCUGCAGCUCCGGGCGCCGCUCAGCCAGGGCCACCCACAGCCGCGCCAGCGUCUCCUGUCCCCGCCACGGGCCGCAGGCAGCCAGGAACAAAACCGCGGCCUUGAAGUUUCUGCAGCCCCCGGAGCUGAGAUGCCGACUCCCCGCCCUCCAGAACCUUCCGCGCCGCUCGCUCCCGCGAAGGCAGCAGUGAAAAGCUAAAGAAGUAAACAGGUCAUGGCACAUUUAACAAAAAGAUGACAGGUGGAUACAAAAGCUAUCCAGCAUCUUUGGGCAGCCAUUGAGAUUAUACGGAACCAGAAGCAAAUUGCCAACAUUGACUGUAUUACAAAAUUUCCAAUCAAGAUGUAAAGGGUGAAGAAUCAAAGAACAAAGAAUCAGUAACAAGUGAAAUUUAAGCCUUUCAAUCAUGCAGAUUCCUAAUAUGAUUCAUAACUCAUUGUCAUGUUAUUUCUCUAAAUGCCAUGUAUAGUUUAAUGUCCAAUAAAAUCAAGUUACAUAUAUCA